AGGGAGAACACAAGUAAACCUCCGUCGAAAAGAGCACCAACUAGUAGUGGGCCCUAAGUAGUAGCGUGGAUUUAAAGUGCAGCUGCAUUCUAUUUACAGGCAAAAAGAAAUAAAAUCAGAAAAUGUUGACGCUUUUCUUCAUUUCCUUAUUUCUUAUUCUCGUUCUCUCCGCUCUUCUCUUCAAGUUUGCCAUUUCUGAUGGAGAUUUUACUUUACUAUCUAGAAGGCAUGUAAAGCGUGAAGAAAUUGAAGAUAAGGUUGUGUGGAUUACUGGAGCUAGCCGUGGGAUUGGAGAAAUUCUUGCUAAACAAUUGGCAAGUUUAGGGGCCAAACUUAUUCUUUCUGCACGAAAUGAAACUGAACUGGAGCGAGUUAGGAAACAACUUACUGGUAAAUAUGCACCUGAACAGGUAAAGAUUUUGCCCCUUGAUUUGACAUCUGGAGAGGUUACACUCAAGGAAGCUGUAGAAAAAGCAGAAUCCUUUUUUCCUGGUGUUGGUGUUGAUUAUAUGAUCCACAAUGCAGCUUAUGAGCGUCCUAAAAUAACAGCUUUGGAUGUAACAGAGGAAAGCCUUAAGGCUACAUUCAAUGUCAAUGUAUUUGGGACAAUAUGUCUCACACGGCUACUGACACCUUUUAUGCUGAGGAGGGGAAGAGGUCACUUUGUUGUGAUGAGCAGUGCUGCUGGAAAGACACCUGCACCUGGUCAGGCGGUAUACUCUGCUUCUAAAUAUGCUUUAAAUGGAUACUUUCAUUCCUUGCGUUCUGAGGAGUGGAAAGAGUGGGAAGGGGGCAAUUUAAAAGAGAUUGCAAUUGAAAGCCUGCUUUGUCAGAAAGGUAUCAAGGUUACUGUUGUUUGCCCAGGGCCAAUAGAAACAUCAAAUGGUUCUGGAGCAACUACUUCUGGAACUAAGGUUUCCUCUGAGAAGCGUGUGUCAGCUGAAAGGUGUGUCGAACUCACAGUCAUUGCUGCCUCUCAUGGUUUAAAGGAAGUUUGGAUAUCCUACCAGGAGCAAAAAUCGGGGAGGAUGAUUGGCACUGCUAAAGUUGAUGAUGGACUAUAUAUUUGGAAUAAAAACAAUACACAAGGGGGAUUGGCUCUAUCCACUUCAAAAGAGGACACUAUUAUGUUAUGGCAACGUAGCCUGUACUCGCGGUAAUGUAUCUGGUGCAGUACAUGCCUACAAUUGGCUAUUGGCUCAUGGACAAGGUUGGAGGGCGUCGAGUGGAAGCUGCUGCGCAGAAAGGCAACACCUACUCGUUGGGAUUACUUUUUGGGAAAAAGAAGGCAGCUUGAUCUCAACCAUCUUAAAUCCUUUUUCUUUUUUACUUGUUAGGCUACUGGGAUCACAGGAUGUAAAGAAUAUCUUAAUUUCUGUUGCAGACCAGAUUGAGAUCUUUACUAUGUCACCUUACCAAGCUAAUCUAUACUUAUCUGUAAAAGUUAUCCCUAACAAUGGCAUUGCUCAAUUUCAAUUUUAGUGUUCAACAACCAAUAUUUGGUAUUAAA